GUGCCAGCCGCCGCGGUAAUACGGAGGGUGCGAGCGUUAUUCGGAAUUACUGGGCGUAAAGCGCGUGUAGGCGGCCAACCAAGUCUGAUGUGAAAGCCCUGGGCUUAACCUGGGAAGUGCAUUGGAAACUGGCUGGCUUGAGUACUGGAGAGGAAGGGGGAAUUCCCGGUGUAGAGGUGAAAUUCGUAGAGAUCGGGAGGAAUACCAGUGGCGAAGGCGCCCUUCUGGACGGUUACUGACGCUGAGACGCGAAAGCGUGGGGAGCAAACAGGAUUAGAUACCCUGGUAGUCCACGCUGUAAACGAUGAGCACUAGGUGUAGCGGGUACUCAUUCCUGCUGUGCCGUAGCUAACGCGUUAAGUGCUCCGCCUGGGGAUUACGGUCGCAAGACUAAAACUCAAAGAAAUUGACGG
rnacentral:rRNA from 1 species